rnacentral:rRNA from 1 species
CUUCGUGGGGUGUCGAGCCGUCGACCCUCUCGGAGAAGGUCGGUCCUGAACUCCACCCUUGAAUAAAUUACCUUUGUUGCUUUGGCGGGCCGCCUCGCGCCAGCGGCUUCGGCUGCUUGAGUGCCCGCCAGAGGACCACAACUCUUGUUUUUAGUGAUGUCUGAGUACUAUAUAAUAGUUAAAACUUUCAACAACGGAUCUCUUGGUUCUGGCAUCGAUGAAGAACGCAGCGAAAUGCGAUAAGUAAUGUGAAUUGCAGAAUUCAGUGAAUCAUCGAAUCUUUGAACGCACAUUGCGCCCUCUGGUAUUCCGGGGGGCAUGCCUGUUCGAGCGUCAUUAUAAUCCACUCAAGCUCUCGCUUGGUAUUGGGGUUCGCGGUUCCGCGGCCCCUAAAAUCAGUGGCGGUGCCUGUCGGCUCUACGCGUAGUAAUACUCCUCGCGUCUGGGUCCGGUAGGUCUACUUGCCAGCAACCCCCAAUUUUUACAGGUUGACCUCGGAUCAGGUAGGGAUACCCGUGAACUUAAGCAUAUCAAUA